rnacentral:rRNA from 1 species
CACGAAGUUAGCCGGUGCUUAUUCUUCCGGUACCGUCAUCCGCCCGGGGUAUUAGCCCAGACGAUUUCUUCCCGGACAAAAGGGCUUUACAACCCGAAGGCCUUCUUCACCCACGCGGCAUGGCUGGAUCAGGCUUGCGCCCAUUGUCCAAUAUUCCCCACUGCUGCCUCCCGUAGGAGUCUGGGCCGUGUCUCAGUCCCAGUGUGGCUGAUCAUCCUCUCAGACCAGCUACCGAUCGUCGCCUUGGUGGGCCUUUACCCCGCCAACUAGCUAAUCGGACAUCGGCUCAUCCUGUCGCGCGAGGUCUUGCGAUCCCCCGCUUUCACCCGUGGGUCGUAUGCGGUAUUAGCCUAAGUUUCCCUAGGUUAUCCCCCACGACAGGGCAGAUUCCGAUGUAUUCCUCACCCGUCCGCCGCUCGCCGGCAUCCCGAAGGACCCGCUGCCGCUCGACUUGCAUGUGUUAGGCCUGCCGCCAGCGUUCACUCUGAGCCAGGAUCAAACUCU